ACGGAGGGUGCAAGCGUUAUCCGGAAUCAUUGGGUUUAAAGGGUCCGCAGGCGGAUUUAUAAGUCAGUGGCGAAAUCCUACAGCUCAACUGUAGAACUGCCAUUGAUACUGUAAGUCUUGAAUUCGGUCGAAGUGGGCGGAAUAUGACAUGUAGCGGUGAAAUGCUUAGAUAUGUCAUAGAACACCGAUAGCGAAGGCAGCUCACUAGGCCUGGAUUGACGCUCAGGGACGAAAGCGUGGGGAGCAAACAGGAUUAGAUACCCUGGUAGUCCACGCCGUAAACUAUGAUUACUCGAUAUUGGCGAUAUACAGUCAGUGUCUAAGCGAAAGUGAUAAGUAAUCCACCUGGGGAGUACGAUCGCAAGGUUG
rnacentral:rRNA from 1 species